UACGUAGGGGGCGAGCGUUGUCCGGAGUUACUGGGCGUAAAGCGCACGCAGGCGGUCUGCUAAGUUUGGAGUGACAGUUGGUGGCUUAACUGCCAAAGUGCUUCGAAAACUGACAGACUUGAGGGCUUCAGAGGGACACGGAAUUCCGGGUGGAGUGGUGAAAUGCGUAGAGAUCCGGAGGAACACCAAAGGUGAAGGCAGUGUCCUGGGGAGUACCUGACGCUCAGGUGCGAAAGCCAGGGGAGCGAACGGG
rnacentral:rRNA from 1 species